GGAGAGUGCCCUGCGUGCCACGAAAGU
rnacentral:piRNA from 1 species